GGGCGUAUAGCUCAGUUGGUUAGAGCGUCUCGUUGACGUCGAGAAGGUCUCAGGUUCGAAUCCUGAUGCGCCCA
rnacentral:tRNA from 1 species